rnacentral:tRNA from 3 species
GCGGGCGUCGUAUAGCGGCUAUUAUGCUACCUUGCCAAGGUAGCGACGGCGGUUCGACUCCGCUCGCCCGCUCCA